GUCUGUAUCGAUUAGGGGUUAAAUCACCUCGUUGUGGAUUCGCGUAUUACAUACGUACUCUGAUCCGAGGAGCCGCCAGUUCGAAUCCGGCUACGGACA
rnacentral:tRNA from 1 species